AGAGGAGACAUGCGCGCAUAUCAAUAAGCGGAGGAAAAGGAAACUAACUAGGAUUCCCUUAGUAACGGCGAGUGAAGCGGGAAGAGCUCAAAUUUGAAAUCUUCAAGGUUUUACCUUGACGAAUUGUAGUUUAAAGAAGUGUUUUCUGCUGAAGUUUUGGUAAAAGUUCCUUGGAAUAGGACAUCAUAGAGGGUGAGAAUCCCGUAUUUGACCAUUAUUUUCAGCUUUGUGAUACACUUUCAAAGAGUCGGAUUGUUUGGGAAUGCAGUCCAAAAUGGGUGGUAAAUUUCAUCUAAAGCUAAAUAUUGGCGAGAGACCGAUAGCGAACAAGUACCGUGAGGGAAAGAUGAAAAGAACUUUGAAAAGAGAGUUAAACAGUACGUGAAAUUGUCAAAAGGGAAGCGUUUGACACCAGUGUUGUUUUCUCGAAAAUCAAUUAAAAAUGGCUCGAUUUUGUAUUGCUUGAGACCUUAAAAGCUCACUGUACAUUUUUCGUGUCUUUUUUAAUGCACUUUUCGUUUAACAAGUCAACAUCAGUUUCUUUUGUUGUAAAGGGGUCAUUGGAAGGUGGCUUUCUUUUCGGAGAAAGUGUUUAUAGCCUUUGGCCUCUGCAAUCGGAAGAGACUGAGGUCUGCAGCGUAGACUCUUCGGGGUUAGAUACAUUUGUGCUAAGUUAUAGCUUUUUAUAGACAACUUGUUGACUAUAAUUAGUCUUGUAGCUUACUCGCUUAUGCUAUUUUACCUACGCUUAGGAUGUUGAAGAUGUAGCACAUCAU
rnacentral:rRNA from 1 species